GCCCCGGCGGCAGAGAGGAGACUAUGGAACGUCAGGUGAGGGCUCGGCCCGCGGUCCCCGUGGUCCCUGCAGCCCGGGCCGGGCCUGACCCUGGUGUGUCCCCUGCGCAGGUGCUGCUGAGCGAGCCCGAGGAGGCGGCGGCUCUGUAUCGGGGCCUUAGCCGCCAGCCCGCGCUGAGCGCCGCCUGCCUGGGCCCGGAGGUCACCACGCAGUACGGCGGCCAAUACCGGACGGUGCACACUGACUGCUGAGCAGAGAGUCUCCUUCAGGCACCAUGAAAGCUGUGCUGCGCAAGGCUGGAGGCACGGGCCCUGGGGAAGAGAAGCAGUUCCUGGAGGUCUGGGAGAAGAACCGGAAGCUCAAGAGCUUCAACCUGUCAGCACUGGAGAAACAUGGGCCUGUUUAUGAGGAUGACUGCUUUGGCUGCCUGUCCUGGUCGCACUCGGAGACACACUUGUUGUAUGUGGCAGAGAAGAAGCGCCCCAAGGCCGAGUCCUUCUUUCAGACCAAAGCCUUGGACGUCAGUGCCAGCGAUGAUGAGAUAGCCAGGCUGAAGAAGCCAGACCAAGCCAUCAAGGUGCUCGUGGUCAAUCCACGAAGGCCCGGCAGGGCAGCCCUGGGGCUCAGUGUGCUCCCUUCCCAUACUGUGCCUGUCAGACCUGGGGAGGCACUAGCUUCUAGGAAGCAGAGCAGGUCCUAUAGACAGGCUGGGCAUUGAGUAUCUUGUGUUCUCAGGGGGAUCAGUUUGUGUUUUAUGAAGACUGGGGAGAAAACAUGGUUUCCAAAAGCAUCCCUGUGCUCUGCGUGCUGGAUGUCGAGAGUGGCAACAUCUCUGUGCUUGAGGGGGUCCCUGAGAAUGUGUCCCCUGGACAGGCAUUUUGGGCCCCUGGAGAUGCUGGUGUGGUGUUUGUGGGCUGGUGGCAUGAGCCCUUCCGGUUGGGCAUCCGCUUUUGCACCAAUCGCAGGUGAGGGAGUGGGGCAAGGCAAGGGGCCUUGCAGCCCAGCUGGCCUUGAGACUGAGUGUCUGUCUCGUGGUUCCAGGUCAGCCCUGUAUUAUGUGGACCUCAUCGGGGGGAAGUGUGAGCUCCUCUCGGAUGACUCCCUGGCUGUCUCUUCUCCCCGGCUGAGCCCAGACCAAUGUCGCAUUGUCUACCUGCAGUACCCAUCUCUGAUCC
rnacentral:sRNA from 1 species